rnacentral:misc_RNA from 1 species
CUCACCCUAAUCUUCUGAAAGAAAUAAACAUAUCCAGCGCCGUCUCACCGCCUUCCGAGCAUCAUACCGCCAUUCCGCCGCCGUCGCUCCCUUCAUCAGGUCCGGAGAACCCAGUGGUACCAAUCCGACAGCGUGGGGUGGCCCGCAGCCAAAGAUAGGCUUGGGUUCACCACGGACUAAUCAACUGCAACUUCCGUCGUUUAUGCCUCACUAAAGCAUAGUC